rnacentral:rRNA from 1 species
UACGGAGGGGGCUAGCGUUGUUCGGAAUUACUGGGCGUAAAGCGCACGUAGGCGGCUUUGCAAGUUAGAGGUGAAAGCCCGGGGCUCAACUCCGGAAUUGCCUUUAAAACUGCAUCGCUAGAGUUGUGGAGAGGUAAGUGGAAUUCCGAGUGUAGAGGUGAAAUUCGUAGAUAUUCGGAAGAACACCCGUGGCGAAGGCGGCUACCUGGACCAGCACUGACACUGAGGCACGAAAGCGUGGGGAGCAAACAGG